rnacentral:sRNA from 1 species
CUCUUCGCACUGACCCGGGUCGAUGAAAUGAACGUGGCAAUCGAGCCCCCCUGCCGUGACGAUCAGGCCCUCCGCUGCGCGAACAUCGGUGUUGGUGCCGACGAUUAAUCUUGGGUCCACCCCAUCCAUGAUCCGCGGAUCUCCGGCCUUGCCAAUGCCGGCGAUCAGGCCAUCCUUAAUCCCGAUGUCCGCUUUGAUUAUCCCGAGGACUGGAUCGAUGAUCGUGGCGUUGGUGAUGACGAGAUCGAGCGCCCCGCCCGCCGCGGUGAUGUGGCCAUGACAGCCAGUG